GUGGCCGAGUGGGUAAGACCGCCUGGUAAUCCAGGGGUCGCAGGUUCAAAUCCCG
rnacentral:tRNA from 1 species